UAUUUCAGAGGACAGUACUCUUCUUAUAGUUCUACUUGCAGGGAUCCCCGUGCAUUGAGGGCACCGAGUCAAUGGAGUUGUGUGCGGCCACGACAACGACACACAUAAGGUUUUCUAGGCAAGUUUAAGAGGGGUUCCUUGAAGGUACUGAAACGAUCUAAACAUCAAACUCUUUUUGUGCUUGCUUGGUAGUAUAAUCUACACUACUUAACAAAUCUUCUCAUUUCUUCAGUUAUAGGCACAUCUUUUAAGAAAUCUUGUCAGAGGAAGAGACGACAGUCUUUAGAGAAUUUGAA
rnacentral:lncRNA from 1 species